ensembl:lncRNA
GUAGGCGGUGGCGCCCCCGCGGCCUCCUGCGUCUCUUUCUGCCUUAGGCCGCCCGCCUUUGGGAUCUUCCCUCUCGGCUUCGUCCCGCGCCCGGCCUUGCGGGGGGUCUCCCGCCGCCCCAGGACCUGCAGAACGUUUAAACUUGAAACAUCGGAGGUGACGGCUUCCUGGCGGCGAUAGGGGCACGGUCAACUUAACAUUUCGACCUAAAACAAAACCACUGUGGGCCCAGCUUGAAGGGGUGAUGGAGACGCCGGGAUAAACCUAAUGAGAAGUCAGGCACUUACCUCGUCUUACGUGAUCGGCACUCACGGUUUAAAUUUCUGUCUGGUGUUAAAUGAAAUGCCCAGCAGAGGAGUUGAUUUGAAUUCCGUAUGGACUCGGUGUAUAUAUAACAGCGUGUAUUUUUUCAAAGAAAUGGGUGUAAAGAGAACAAAUACAUGGGGAACUUUAACAAUUGCCUGUGUAAACAAGCACUAUUACUGCCCUCAUUUUUUCCAUUCUGCUGGAGAAAACACAAGAUUGUGUUCUUCAUUACCUACCUGCAGCUGAGAAGGAGUCCGUCCCUGCUGUCCCUUACUGAGCUGUGGUCUUUACAUGAUUGAAAUUUAAGCUGAAGUACCUAAUGAAGAGGACUCUGAAUAUAGCAGCUGAAAAAGGAAAAAGAUUGGGAGAAGAGUCCAGAUGUCAUAAAGCAAAGAGAGGAUGAGGUCAUGUCGGAUUUUAGAGCAUGUACUGUGUUUGUGAUGGCCAUCUCUUAACUAUCAGAAUGGAACAAAACAUUGGAGGUUAUUUUAAUGAGAACAGUCUUCUCCAGGAAGUCUGUGAUGACCAAAAAGCUAGGAAAUGGUAACCCACUCCAGUAUUCUUGCCUGGAGAAUCCCAUGGACGGAGGAUACUGGCGGGCUACAGUCCAUGGGGUCGCAAAGAGUUGGACGUGACUGAGCAACUAACACUUACUUCCUUACCUUCCCCACAAUGUCUUGCUUGGUGAUAAGGCACAACUCUUCAUCGUAACCCAAUGAUGUUGGCAAAGUGAGAUUGUUAACGCUGUUCAGCAGCCACUCCCCAGUGGAUUUAAUCCGCAGACAUCUGGUGGCAAAGGUGUCCACAGCAUGGACAGCAAAGAGCCGCUUCAGCUGGGAGCAGUAGCAGCUUGACAUCCAGGAGGAAGGAAAACAAGAGGGCAUAAUCAUUUGAGAUGUUGUUGGAGGAAAAGACUCUGAGAAUGGGAAGAGGGUGUUCUCCACCACCUGGGUAGCUGGGUGGCUGUAAUGACCAUCCUCUCUCAGUGUGGGCCCUGGGAAGAACUCACUGGGUAUCACAAUAGCUAAUUUUUCUUUAAGUCGACCUACAGGUCAUCUGUACCAGCACACCUUCCCCUUUCAGUGGUUAAAACAUCCCUCUGGAGAAUGACCCCUUGAGGCCCUGAGAACUUUAUUGUACUAUCCCCAACCCCCACCUCCCCUCACACCUCUCUCCCCUCUAGCCUCAUGGUCUCAGUUCAGAUGUCAAUCAACAUUCCCAGCUCAAGACCACCUCUUUAGUUGGUCUGAGAGCUAUUGCCAGCUUUGGAAACUCAGAAGUAACUCCCCUUUGUUCUGGUCCCGCAGCUCUAAACUCUAAAGUGAGGGCUUGGGAAUCUUCUAACUUGAUGAGAAUAUUUGAGGACCUGUCUGAUCAGUGUACUUUGUACCAUAAACUCAAGUAAAUAAAAAACAAGUCAAUCAACAAAAUACAAAUAUUUUCUACCACUAAAUUGCUAAGGCAAUUCAAAAGAAUAUGCUUCUGGAACAAAAGGCCAUUCCAAACGAGGUGCCCUAAAAAUGUUUUGAAAGUAGUAGUAUAAUGGAAUAAAG